rnacentral:tRNA from 1 species
GGACCCGUAGCGCAGAGGUCGACGCGCGGCCUUCAAAGCCGAGGGCGCCGGUUCGAAUCCGGUCGGCUCCGCCC